GCAGGCUGCAACCCGCCCUGCAUGAAGCCGGAAUCGCUAGUAAUCGCGGAUCAGAAUGUCGCGGUGAAUACGUUCCCGGGCCUUGUACACACCGCCCGUCACACCAUGAGAGUCGAUAACACCCGAAGCCUGUGAGCUAACCGUAAGGAGGCAGCAGUCGAAGGUGGGGUUGAUGAUUGGGGUGAAGUCGUAACAAGGUACC
rnacentral:rRNA from 1 species